CUACAUUAAGUAUAAUUGUAUCUUUAAUUUCCACUUAAAUGGGCCUAGUUUAGGAGUGUAGA
rnacentral:tRNA from 1 species